rnacentral:rRNA from 1 species
GACGAGGGGUCCAAGCGUUGUUCGGAAUCAUUGGGCGUAAAGCGGGUGUAGGUGGCUCUGUAAGUCAGGAGUGAAAGCCCCGAGCUUAACUUGGGAAGUGCUUUUGAUACUGCAGAGCUUGAGUGUGGGAGAGGAUCGUGGAAUUCCUGGUGUAGUGGUGAAAUACGUAGAUAUCAGGAGGAACACCCGAGGCGAAGGCGGCUUGCUGGGCGGCACCUGACGCUGAGGCGCGAAAGCUAGGGGAGCGAACGGA